rnacentral:lncRNA from 1 species
CAUCUUUAAUGAAAUGGGAGGCAGUGCUACCAGCAUUUUAAUUAAAAACAAAAAUGUCAAGUUUAAGCUCAUCUGUCAACUAUGAAUAUUUCACCGUUUCUUCAUUCAUGCAUAGUUCCUGCAAUUGCACAAACCUAAAAUCCAAUUAUGAAUUUCAACUUAUGAGACUCGAAUUUUCCGCAUACCAGUAUUUUUAAUGAUUGUAUAAGGUGAGAAGACAUCAUUAAAAUUGGU